rnacentral:lncRNA from 1 species
GUUUUUCUUAGGUAUGAUCAAGGUAAACUCAGUUUUAAGUUCUUGCACCAUGAUACUAUGCAUUGUGAUGUGGUAUGAUGUGAAGUGGUGUGAGAGAGAGAGAGAGAGAGAGAGAGAGAGAGAGAGAGAGAGAGCACCUAUGGGUUGAAGCCUUUAGAAAUGUGCUGCAGUGAAUAAGGAGUUAAAGCAAUCCAGGCACGAUUUAGUCCAGAAGGUGGCAAACACCUCAUCUAUUCUAAAAGAUAAUGGUUUUCCCCAGUCACAUAGCUGCUGCCGAGGGAGCUGAGAGCUCAGGAGACUUUCUAUCCAAUACAACAAUUACAAAAAGGUAAAUGUGAACCACUUAAUGGAUGCUUGUUGAUCUGAUCAUUGACAAUGUAGACCAGAAGAAGCAUCAGUGAAGGUGUGCGAUUUUAGAGAGCUGUCAGAGACUGUUACCUCCCUUCCCCCAACCUUGCUUUAGUGACUGGCUUAAGCAACCUGAAGGACCUUAGCUUUCAGUUGUCAUUCCAGGUACAAAUCCAUCAAAAAG